rnacentral:rRNA from 1 species
CACGUAGGCGGCUUGGUAUGUCGGGUGUGAAAUCCCCGGGCUCAACCUGGGAACUGCAUCCGAAACUGCCUUGCUCGAGUAUGGGAGAGGGAAGUGGAAUUUCCGGUGUAGCGGUGAAAUGCGUAGAUAUCGGAAGGAACAUCAGUGGCGAAGGCGACUUCCUGGACCAAUACUGACGCUCAGGUGCGAAAGCGUGGGGAGCAAACAGGAUUAGAUACCCUGGUAGUCC